GAGUGAUAAAGGGGUCUUCUAUGAAGAGUUCUGAGAGCUGCUCUAGCAAAAGGACCCAGGGAGGUGGCUGGAACCCCCACCCGGAGCCAGUCAGUGAGAAGCACAGGUUCUUGCCAUUUGCAACAACGUGGAUG